rnacentral:rRNA from 1 species
GGCGGCAGGCUUAACACAUGCAAGUCGAACGGUAACAGAGAAGUGCUUGCACUUUUGCUGACGAGUGGCGGACGGGUGAGUAAUGCUUGGGAAUAUGCCUUAUGGUGGGGGACAACAGUUGGAAACGACUGCUAAUACCGCAUAAUCUCUUCGGAGCAAAGUGGGGGACCUUCGGGCCUCACGCCAUAAGAGUAGCCCAAGUGGGAUUAGCUAGUUGGUAAGGUAAUGGCUUACCAAGGCGACGAUCCCUAGCUGGUCUUAGAGGAUGACCAGCCACACUGGAACUGAGACACGGUCCAGACUCCUACGGGAGGCAGCAGUGGGGAAUAUUGCACAAUGGAGGAAACUCUGAUGCAGCCAUGCCGCGUGU